rnacentral:rRNA from 1 species
AGAGUUUGAUCAUGGCUCAGGACGAACGCUGGCGGCGUGCUUAACACAUGCAAGUCGUGCGGAAAGGCCUUUCGGGGUACUCGAGCGGCGAACGGGUGAGUAACACGUGAGUAACCUGCCCCCGUCUUCGGGAUAAGCCUGGGAAACCGGGUCUAAUACCGGAUAUGACCUGUCGUGGCAUCGCGGCGGGUGGAAAGUGCGCUCCCUUUGGGGGUGUUGCGGGUGGGGAUGGGCUCGCGGCCUAUCAGCUUGUUGGUGGGGUGGUGGCCUACCAAGGCGACGACGGGUAGCCGGCCUGAGAGGGCGACCGGCCACACUGGGACUGAGACACGGCCCAGACUCCUACGGGAGGCAGCAGUGGGGAAUCUUGCGCAAUGGGCGGAAGCCUGACGCAGCGACGCCGCGUGGGGGAUGACGGCCUUCGGGUUGUAAACCUCUUUCAGCAGGGACGAAGGUGACGUGUACCUGUAGAAGAAGCGCCGGCUAACUACGUGCCAGCAGCCGCGGUAAUACGUAGGGCGCGAGCGUUGUCCGGAAUUAUUGGGCGUAAAGAGCUCGUAGGUGGCUUGUCGCAUCUGCCGUGAAAGGCCUGGGCUUAACUCGGGUUUUGCGGUGGAUACGGGCUGGCUAGAGGUAGGUAGGGGAGAACGGAAUUCCUGGUGUAGCGGUGAAAUGCGCAGAUAUCAGGAGGAACACCGGUGGCGAAGGCGGUUCUCUGGGCCUUACCUGACGCUGAGGAGCGAAAGCGUGGGGAGCGAACAGGAUUAGAUACCCUGGUAGUCCACGCUGUAAACGUUGGGCGCUAGGUGUGGGGUUCUUCCACGGGUCCCGUGCCGUAGCUAACGCAUUAAGCGCCCCGCCUGGGGAGUACGGCCGCAAGGCUAAAACUCAAAGGAAUUGACGG